CCUACGGGAGGCAGCAGUGGGGGAUAUUGCACAAUGGGGGAAACCCUGAUGCAGCGACGCCGCGUGAGUGAAGAAGGAUUUCGGUAUGUAAAGCUCUAUCAGCAGGGAAGAAAAUGACAGUACCUGACCAAGAAGCCCCGGCGAACGACGUGCCAGCAGCCGCGGUAAUACGUAGGGGGCAAGCGUUAUCCGGAUUUACGGGGGGUAAAGGGAGCGUAGACGGUUCUGGAAGUCUGGAGUGAAAGCCCGGGGCCCAACCCCGGGACUGCUUUUGAAACUGUGUAACUGGAGUACAGGAGGGGCAGGCGGAAUUCCUGGUGUUGCGGUUAACUGCGUAGAUAUCAGGAGGAACCCCGGCGGCGACGGCGGCCUGCUGGACUGCACCUGACGUUGAGGCUCGACCGCGUG
rnacentral:rRNA from 1 species